CAAAUCAUGACGCGGUAGGUAAAGAGAGAGAAAAAGCCUGGCAAAAUUCUAAAGUCCAUGCAAUGGCAAUUGCCUUCUCGGCUUCUCAUCCUCCCACCGCGACAUGACGCAACACACUCGAUGUAAUGCUUUUCUUUGUUAAAAAUAUAAAGAAUUAGGAAAGCAAAUAAGCUCUCUCUGAAUCCCUCACUCUCUCUUCUCAUUCCCUUUCUCUCCAGAAUUAACUCCAUCGAUUAGGGCAAAACUAGAUCUCUGCAACUUCUGUGGAAGCUUGAGUGCAUGCAAUUGUUGACUUAGCGGUUGCUUAUCUCAGUGGUAGCAGCCAAAUUGCGAUUGCUAAUUUGAUUUGCUGAUUGAUGCUUUGCUCUCUUCAAAUUCUAGUUAGAAAUUUCGCAUGGCAUCGAUCUUGAGCCACAAUGGCUCACAAGAUCCCUGGCAUUUUUUUUUUGCUAUCUACUUCGCCAUUGGUUUUGUCGCUGCUAGGUUGUUCUUGGACAAAUUCAUCUUUCGAAGGCUGGCCAUUUGGUUGUUGACAAAGAAAUCUGUGCCCCUGAGAAUUGAUGAAGCUACACGGGCAACAAUUGUAAAAUGUUCAGAAUCUAUGUGGAAGCUAAUAUAUUAUGCUGCUGUUGAAGUAUGUGUUCUAAAAAUUACCUACAAUGAACCUUGGUUCAGAAAUACAAGAGAGUAUUUCAGAGGCUGGCCAGAUCAAGAAUUAAAGCUUUCCCUAGAAAUUCUCUACAUGUGCCAAUGUGGCUUCUACAUAUACAGUAUUGUUGCACUACUUACAUGGGAAACUAGAAGGAAGGACUUUACUGUGAUGAUGUCUCAUCAUGUAAUUACUGUUAUACUGAUUGGAUACUCUUACAUUGCGAGAUUUUUCCGCAUAGGCUCAAUUAUCCUUGCCCUACAUGAUGCGAGCGAUGUAUUCAUGGAAGCUGCCAAAGUUUUUAAAUAUUCUGGGAAGGAGCUUGGAGCGAGCAUUUGCUUUGGGUUAUUUGCCAUCUCAUGGCUUGUACUGCGGCUAAUAUUCUUUCCCUUUUGGGUAAUCAAGACGUCAAGCUAUGAUUUCGCAGACUUCUUGGAUUUAUCAAAGGCCUACAUCAUCUCACUGUACUAUAUUUUCAAUACUAUGUUGCUGAUGCUACUUGUAUUCCACGUCUAUUGGUGGAUUUUGAUAUGUUCAAUGAUAAUGAGACAGCUAAGAAAUAGGGGAAGAGUGGGGGAAGAUAUAAGAUCCGAGCUCCUGUUCUUUUGGGUUACUCAUAUAGAGUAAUAUUUGUCUCUCACUGCCCACCUAAUGCCGGAGCGCAAGCGAAGCUGCCCUGAAGAGCCGAGGGGUGGCCGGCCAGCGAGUGAGCUUCACACGCCGCGGCAAGGUUCUGACGCCAUCCCACUCGCCCGCGCAUGGAGGUGCGUUGUCUGUCCGUCGCUGCUUCAGUCACCCUCGCCGGAGUCGCCUCGCUACCCUCUCGUCAGAUCUGUGGUUUGUUUGCCGUUUGGGUGUUGGGUGGAGACGUUUUUGGUACUGUUCACGACCGGAUUCAGAAGAUGAUGAAUAGCUGGAAUAUUUAGCUGAAGCUUUUGGUUCCAUGGGCUCUCAGGAGAUUCAUUCGACUUGAUUGUAGGUAUAUGACCUACCUGUUGGUUUUAUGAUAGAGUGGUUUGGGCAGGCUAUUGGUGACUAUAUUGGUGUGCUUGUGGAAGUUGAUCUACACAAUUUCACGGGUGGUCUUCGUUCUUUGAUGCAUAUUCUUGUUGGUUUGGAUAUUCGUAAACCUCUCAAACAGAAAAUGAAGUUAUAGUGUGAAUCAAGUCAAUUUUACGGUUUGGCUUCACUAUAAGUAUGAACAAUUGCCUCAAUUUGGCUUUUAUUGUGGUCAAUUAGAUCAUUUCAUUAAAUACUUGUUGCUGUCUUUGACUACCUAGUGUUAUAAACAGCGCUUCAAAUAUGGUGCAUGGUUAAGGGCCUCUGUCAGUGGAGUGGUUCAAGUUGGUGACCGUUAAUCAGGGUAAAUUCAACCAUUCCAACUCAAUUAUUAUUAAUAAUGUUAGAUAUAUUUUAUUCAAUUUAAUGUUUUUUAAUAAAUUAAUAAAUAAUCAUUUUACAUCCAAGUA